AGAGUUUUGAACCUGGCUCAGGACGAACGCUGGCGGCGUGCCUAAUACAUGCAAGUCGAGCGGACAGAAGGGAGCUUGCUCCCGGAUGUUAGCGGCGGACGGGUGAGUAACACGUGGGUAACCUGCCUGUAAGACUGGGAUAACUCCGGGAAACCGGAGCUAAUACCGGAUAGUUCCUUGAACCGCAUGGUUCAAGGAUGAAAGACGGUUUCGGCUGUCACUUACAGAUGGACCCGCGGCGCAUUAGCUAGUUGGUGGGGUAAUGGCUCACCAAGGCGACGAUGCGUAGCCGACCUGAGAGGGUGAUCGGCCACACUGGGACUGAGACACGGCCCAGACUCCUACGGGAGGCAGCAGUAGGGAAUCUUCCGCAAUGGACGAAAGUCUGACGGAGCAACGCCGCGUGAGUGAUGAAGGUUUUCGGAUCGUAAAGCUCUGUUGUUAGGGAAGAACAAGUGCGAGAGUAACUGCUCGCACCUUGACGGUACCUAACCAGAAAGCCACGGCUAACUACGUGCCAGCAGCCGCGGUAAUACGUAGGUGGCAAGCGUUGUCCGGAAUUAUUGGGCGUAAAGGGCUCGCAGGCGGUUUCUUAAGUCUGAUGUGAAAGCCCCCGGCUCAACCGGGGAGGGUCAUUGGAAACUGGGAAACUUGAGUGCAGAAGAGGAGAGUGGAAUUCCACGUGUAGCGGUGAAAUGCGUAGAGAUGUGGAGGAACACCAGUGGCGAAGGCGACUCUCUGGUCUGUAACUGACGCUGAG
rnacentral:rRNA from 1 species